CGGAUGAAUCCGCGGCCACUGUAAUAAUAACCGCGGCUAUUCGAAUCAAUCCGCGGCUUGCCAUCUAAGUCGCGGCCAUGAUCCGGAUGAAUGGGCAAGCCGCGGCCACUAUAAUAAAUAACCGCGGCUAUUCGAAUCAAUCCGCGGAUUAUUCGGGGCUUGCCAUCUAAAGUCGCGGCCAUGAUCCGGAUGAAUGGGGAAAGCCGCGGCCACUGUAAUAAUAGCAGCGGCUAUUCGAAUCAAUCCGGGGCUUGCCAUCUAAGCCGCGGCCAUAAUCAGGAUGACUGGGGGGGGCCAGAGAGGUCGAGUGCUUUUUAUAUAGUCGAAGCAGUUUGCAAGCGCUCCUAGAUCUACACUAGAUCUACACUACAGCAAGGUAAGCGACUAUGGAUUUUGGUCCACAAACAUCUGAUCAAUCGAUUGAUUGAUCUUGUGCGAUCAAAGUUAGUUGCUGUGCCCUGUUGAAUGAAACAACUGUCAUAUAGUCAUAUGUACUGUAUAAUUGUUGUGGCAUACGUACAUGUGUACUUGUAUACAGCUGCCACCCCCUCAUGUGUGCCACCGUUCAGGUUGGUUGGCAGCAGUUAGCAGCAGUUAGAAGUUGAAGUGCAACCAGCCAUGACCAUCUCAUGCGCACACUGCACUGUACGUACGUAUGUACGUAUAAUUAUACUUCACUAAUGCAUGAUUGACCGCACUUCAACUCACCAACCAUACAUACUAUACUGCAUUUAUUGUAUACCAGUCUUUGUCAUAAUAAUUGUGUAGUGUAGUGUAGUGUAGUGUGUAAUGUACGUGUCUCCUAAAUGUGGUUAGGACUCUGCGACAGGUCAAAGGCACUCUCCUCCUGUGAAGGAGGUGAGUAAGGUGAAGGUGAGUAAGGUGAGUACUGUAUUUGCUUGAUUAAACGCCCGGGCGUUUAUUUCCUAAGAGAAGUCUGUAGAGAGGAGAGGGCAGAGGGCGUUUAAACGAGAUGGGCGAAACGGGCGGUUAUUGAACAUCCGGUAGUGGGUGUAGAUUAAUGUGAGGGCGUUUAUUUGAACACGUGGCUAACAAACUGAAGUAUGGCUAGCUAUUCAGUUAGCAGUACUUUGAAUCCUUCUUCCCUACAGAGGCCUACAGAGGUCACACACCGUAAGUAUUGCUCUACCUGGCUCCAUAGUAGACAUGUAUCUAUGCUGCCAUGCUUCCCACUAGUUCCACGUGUCUACCACCCACAGUGCCACGCCCAUACAUGGGCGUUUAUUGAGCUUUUACCUGGGCAGCACAGAGGAAAACCCUAGGUUGUAUAUAGCCAUUCAUUAUGUCGUUAUUUUGAGGGUUACACUCCACUCGUAAUUAGGGUUAGGACUGGCAAGGAUCCUGUGGCUCGCACACUUUUCUCCUCGUCUUUAUACAACCUCCCUGAUGAGUUCAGUAUCCAGGAAGAACUGUCAUUUGGAGCGUCUGGACCAACAUGGAGGGAGCUGGCUGAUCAUCUCAGUAAGAUCGGAGAGAGGGGAACAAGUAGCGAAGGAACUCGUGACCAGCUACAAAAUCGGUAUUAUGUGACUGAGGGUGUGAGGCUCUACUCAGGAGACCUGGAGGGUGGUCACACAGACCAGGAGAGUGCAGCCAGCACAUUAACAAGUCUGAGAGUGUGAUGGUUCUACUCUCAGGAGACCUGGAGGGUGGUCACACAGACCAGGAGAGUGCAGCCAGCACAUUAACAAGUGAGUGGGUGAUCGCGUUGCAGUGAGGGCGUCUGCUGUUUAAUUGUUUGAAUGUGGCAUUACUUUGAGUGCGUGUUUUAAAUACUGUACCACCCGGACCGGACGUACUCGUAUGGUCCUUUGUUCAUUGUUACUAACCCUCCCCUCCGGUCUGAGAGUGUGAUGGCUCUACUCUCAGGAGACCUGGAGGGUGGUCACACAGACCAGGAGAGUGCAGCCAGCACAUUAACAAGAUCUACAAACCUGAUGUGGGCAGAAGCUGGAUGGCUCGGUUGUUGGGGUGAGAGGUUUUGAGCUGUGCGGUUCUGUGAGCCUUUCCGGUCCCGUGUUUGCGCAUCCCUGAGAGCGUGCAUCCCCCUCUAAAGGCACCUCUGUAGGCACCUCUGAAAUCAUCUCUGCAACCACCUCUGCAGGCAUCUCUGAAGGCACCUCUGAAGAAGCACAUAGUCUGCAUCUAUCGGCCAUGGCCGAGGUUGCUAUGGAUGCUGUGGAUGCUGCGGAUGGCAAAGUCGAAUUUAUGAUUACCGUAUGUUACCCAUUGUGUAUGGUGCAUGGUUAUUGCGCAUUUACUCGCAUUACAAAAAGAGCAUAAAGUAUCUAGUAUAGACACGAAAUAGCUUGUGUUUAUAUCACGUCAAGCUUUAGUGCAAAAUUUGUUGGGAAAUGAAUCUUGAUGAUUGUGUUUUGCAUCGGCUUCUGUAUUGUGUUUUUAGCGUAGAUAGUUUAACUUGCUUACAAGCGCAGAGUGCUUGCUGUGUAAAUGUAGCUGCAUGCGCUUAAUAACGUGCCAGUACGGUAUAUAGCUUUGCCGAUCGGGAUUUUGUAUAAGCGACCGUACCGAGUUGUAUUAAAGAGAAAGGGAUAUGAAACAGGAUCACAUGAGCUUAUGUGUUCAACAUAGUUUUCGCACUGCUUGUUGCCGGUUUAAUUUGUGAAUAAAACAUCAGGAAUGGCAAGCUGGCCGGCCGGAUGACUGCUUCAGGAGUCAUAUGAUCACAUAAUUGAGCAAUUACUACUGCAAGCUCCUCUUCUCAGAGGCUAGGGCUCGGAUGCUGAAAGUAUGAAUGAUUCUUAGUACUCAAUUUUGCACGGCCACUCGCUAUUCCGUAUACUGGUCAGUUCUGGCUGUCCUAAACCGGGUUUUUAAUACGGCCGGAUAUGACGUUUAGGAUGUGGUUUGGCCGAUGAAAAUUGAUAAAUAGAGAGCAUAAUGUUUCAUUAUCCUCGAAACAGAACCCCUUAGAUUCGAGGUAGGACCAUUAUUUAGCCGCGGGUAUAUUCUGAAAUGUGACCGGAUUAGCGAGAGUCUACUGUGUAGGCAAAAUAAAGCACCUCCUAUCCAGCAAUCUGAUAGGUCACAACCACGGUACAAGUUUCAAAAUGAGGUGUAGUAUAAUUAUGCAUUACUAUUGAGCAAUCUGAUUGGUCCAUUUGGUACACAACCACGGUACAAUGUAGUGUAGAUCCUUUGAUGUGGCCACAUUUUAGACUGUUUUUUACACAGGGGGUAACGGACGCGGCAAUAAUGGACUCUUCUGCUAUCCAGUUCUUCAUAGCUGAAGGCAAGUGCAACGCCGAAAAAAAAUCCUCAGGGGAGGGACAACUGUGGGUGGGGGCACUAAUAUCUUUAUUGAAAGUUAAAUGCCAACACCCGAUCUGGGGCAUCGUUCUUCGGUUCGGUAUGGCCAAAAUAAUAAGAGUGUGGCUGGACGGAAUCACAAUCCGUACUAAAGUGGCAUUCCUGAACGACAUGGUGUCGCUUAAAGAUUAUCAGGCAGUAUUCGCGGCCAGCUACUAUGCUAUCAAGGCCAAGCUCGGCGAGUCGACUCCAGGUUUUGUCCAGCUCCCUUGAAGAAGAAGAAAUUAGGAAAAGUUGACUGAAGAAAAGAAAUUAACUGUAUAUAAGAAUGCUUUGUACAUUUUCAUGUGGUG